rnacentral:rRNA from 1 species
GAUGAACGCUGGCGGCGUGCCUAACACAUGCAAGUCGAACGAACGGACGAUAAGCUUGCUUCUCUGAUGUUAGCGGCGGACGUGUGAGUAACACGUGGAUAAUCUACCUUUAAUACUGGGAUAACUUCGUGAAACCGGAUCUAAUACCGGAUGAUAUUCUGAACCGCAUGGUUCAAAAGUGAAAGACGGUCUUGCUGUCACUUAUAGAUGGAUCCGCGCUUCAUUAGCUAGUUGGUAAGGUAACGGCUUACCAAGGCAACGAUGCAUAGCCGACCUGAGAGGGUGAUCGGCCACACUGGAACUGAGACACGGUCCAGACUCCUACGGGAGGCAGCAGUAGGGAAUCUUCCGCAAUGGGCGAAAGCCUGACGGAGCAACGCCGCGUGAGUGAUGAAGGUCUUCGGAUCGUAAAACUCUGUUGUUAGGGAAGAACAGAUGUGGAAGUAAAUGUGGACAUCUUGACGGUACCUGAUCAGAAAGCAACGGCUAACCACGUG